rnacentral:lncRNA from 1 species
AUGGUUUUGAAUUGUGUUGCUUGUUCUAAGAUGAUUUUCAAUAUUUUUGUCGAACAUGAUUGAAGCUUGUGUUAUCAACCUAGCCGGGUGAGAAUGUGUGAACUUUCCAUUGUUUACAUAAAAUAUUUGAGAGCCGGCAAUUGUGUGUGCUCAUUUGAUUUUAACUUAAUAUUGCUGUCACUAAUGUGUUUGAUGUUGUGGAUAUGAUCAAGGCCCUGUUUCUUUUUGAGUGAUAACUACUUGGCCAAAUUUAACCUACCUUGUGAGAUAGUGAUCUUUUGUGUCCCCUGUUGAGCCUUAAAUUUUGAAAAUUGUUUGUUAAACCCUGAAACCGAAAGAAUGGAAAAACAACUACUCUACCCUUGUCUUAGGAUAGGAGAGCAAUUGUAUUUCAAUUAGGGUUAUGGUAAGAUUUAAGUUGGGGAGAAGUAGGUUACGAAAGUUACAAAAAUAAAAUGGUUUGGAAAAGUAGUUGAUUUGGUGAUUGAAAAAAAUGUGAAAAAUAAAUGUUUGACACAAAUGAAAAGAGAAAAGAAAGAAAAAAUUUGUGAAAAAAGUGUCAUUGUAAAAAAGAAAGAAAAGAAUCACCAAUGAAAUAGGGGAGAAAAGAAAAAGAAAGGGAGUAAAUGAAUGUAAAUUUUUAGAAGUUCUUUAAGAUUUUGUUAUUGCUCUCUUAUCCUUGAGGCCUUUUGAAUUCCAAAGAAAAACAAUGAAUUUUUGUAGCCCAGCCCCGUUACAAGCUUAAUAAAGUCCUUAGUGAUCCACGAUUGACAACAUGUUUUGUGACAUUGCUUUGAUAAAUGUUUGAAUUGAAUUGUUGCAUACACAUUGCUUGGAUUGAGUGAAACACUUACCCUUGAGUGAUAUAUUUGUGAGAAUUUUAUGAUAACACUUGAAUCUUGAUUGUUUAAUAAGAAUGUUGAGAAUCUUGCUUAGGCAUAGUAAUCAAUUCAUGAUCAUGCUUUGUUCUUUUGAAUAUUUUGAGGAGUAGUCUUGAGUAGGCAUUGUUUUACUCAUGCUUAGGAAA